UAAGGAAGUAAAAGUCGUAACAAGGUCUCCGUUGGUGAACCAGCGGAGGGAUCAUUAAUGAGGACAAAACCCCUCUCCAAACCACUGUGAACCUACUAUAUUUCGUUGCCUCGGCAGGCGGCCCCGGGGGGUCCCAGGCCUUUUGGUGCCUGCCGGGCGGCACUUUAAAAUCUUGCGGUUAUUAUCUUCAGCGGACGGUAGCCUGCCUUAUGGGCGGCACAAUCAGUAAAAACUUUCAACAACGGAUCUCUUGGUUCUGGCAACGAUGAAGAACGCAGCGAAAUGCGAUAAGUAAUGUGAAUUGCAGAAUUCCGUGAAUCAUCGAAUCUUUGAACGCAUAUUGCGCCCACUAGCACUCUAGUGGGUAUGCCUGUUCGAGCGUCAUUACGACCCUCAGGCCGCCCCCGCGAGGGGAGCAAGCCUGGCGUUGGGGCGCUACAGCGCGUUUGGUCGCUGUAGGCUUCGAAUUGCAGUGGCGGGCCCGUCGGGACCUCAGCGUAGUAAAUUCUAUCGCUCGGGGCGUCUCGGCGCGCGUCCGGCCGUGAAACCCCCAAUUUAUAUAAGGUGACC
rnacentral:rRNA from 1 species